rfam:Alphaproteobacteria bacterium 43-37 SCNpilot_expt_1000_bf_scaffold_300, whole genome shotgun sequence.
GGACAUGCGGAUACAUGGAAAAUAACUGACUCUUAAUCAGUAGGUCAAAGGUUCGAAUCCUUUAGCGCCCA